rnacentral:rRNA from 1 species
UGAGUUUGAUCCUGGCUCAGAAUGAACGCUUGCGAUAGGCGUAACACAUGCAAGUCGAACGUUUUAAAAAACGUGGCGAACGGGUGCGUAACAUGUAGGAAUCUGCCAAAGCAUGAAGGAAAAAUCCUUCUUAAAAGAUCAGUGAUCGUGCUUUGAUGAGCCUGCACAAGAUUAGAUAGUUGGUGUGGUAAUGGCACACCAAGUCGAUGAUCUUUAGCUGAUCUGAGAGGAUGAUUAGCCACACUGGGACUGAGACACGGCCCAGGCUCCCAUGGGAGACAGCAGUGAGGAAUCUUGGACAAUGCACGAAAGUGUGAUCCAGCUAUAUCGCGUGAGUGAUGAAGGGUAUGUAGCUUGUAAAGCUCUUUCAGCAAGAAUAGAUGAAAUUUUCAUCUAAAUCAUAAUGAGAUGUCUUGCAUAAGAAGCCCCGGCAAAUUUCUGUGCCAGCAGCCGCGGUAAUACAGAGGGGGCGAGUGUUAUUCGGAAUAAUUGGGCGUAAAUGGCGUGUAGGUUGUGCUUCGUAGUUGUCGGUUAAAGCCCCACCGUUAUUGUGGGUAUGGCUGAUAGAACGGUUGCACUAGAGACUGAGAGAGGAAAGGGGAAUUUCGGGUGUAAAAGUUAAAUUUUUAGAUAUUCGAAGGAAGACCAAAUGCGAAGGCACCUUUCUGGCUCUGAUCUGACACUGAGGCGCGAAGGCGUGGGGAGCGAAGCCGAUUAGAUACCGGCGUAGUCCACGCAGUCAACCAUGCUGUAUUCCUUUUUGGAAGGCAAAAAAAAAUAAUUUGUGUAUAUAUGCUUCAUCGCAUAUAUACACCUCCGCUGAGUAUUUAUAUGUACCACAAACAUUAUCCAUAUACUGUUUUGUGCGUAAAAAUUGCACAAAGAGUUUAAAAACUGGAACUUUUUGUUAGCAAGAGUUCCAGGCGAGGUAGCUCAGUUGGUUAGAGCACAGGAUUCAUACUUCUGGUGUCGGCAGUUCAACUCUGCCUCUCGUCAAUCGUAUUUUGUGGAUGCCUAAGACGUAUACACACAAUGGGCGCUUGGAAUGCGAAACGUUGUGUCUG